rnacentral:rRNA from 1 species
GAUCAUGGCUCAGGAUGAACGCUAGCUACAGGCUUAACACAUGCAAGUCGAGGGGCAGCAGGACGAUAGCUUGCUAUGUUGCUGGCGACCGGCGCACGGGUGAGUAACGCGUAUCCAACCUUCCCCUUAGUAGGGAAUAGCCCGGUGAAAAUCGGAUUAAUGCCCUAUGUUCUUCACAGCGGACAUCUAACGUGAAGCAAAGAUUCAUCGCUAAGGGAUGGGGAUGCGUCUGAUUAGGUAGACGGCGGGGUAACGGCCCACCGUGCCUGCGAUCAGUAGGGGUUCUGAGAGGAAGGUCCCCCACAUUGGAACUGAGACACGGUCCAAACUCCUACGGGAGGCAGCAGUGAGGAAUAUUGGUCAAUGGUCGAGAGACUGAACCAGCCAAGUAGCCGUGCAGGAUGACGGCCCUAUGGGUUGUAAACUGCUUUUAUCGGGGGAUAAAGUCGCCUACGUGUAGGCGUUUGUAGGUACCCGAUGAAUAAGGACCGGCUAAUUCCGUGCCAGCCGCAGC